rnacentral:ncRNA from 1 species
CAGAGUAGGGUUCGGCGCGUCAAGUGCUGCGGGAUGGGAAGUUGUCCGCAGACGAAGUCAUCCGGUUUUCGUGAUGGCGCGGUGCCGUCCCCGCGUCCGCUGC